UAUGUGAUCGUCUCUCGCAUAUCAAUAAGCGGAGGAAAAGAAACUAACAAGGAUUCCCCUAGUAACGGCGAGUGAAGCGGGAAGAGCUCAAAUUUGAAAUCUUAAAGGGUUUCCCUUUACGAAUUGUAGUUUAAAGAAGUGUUUUCUGUCGAGGUUUUGGUAAAAGUUCUUUGGAAUAGGACAUCAUAGAGGGUGAGAAUCCCGUAUUUGACCUUUACUUUCAACUUUGUGAUACACUUUCAAAGAGUCGGAUCGUUUGGGGAUGCAGUCCAAAAUGGGUGGUAAAUUUCAUCUAAAGCUAAAUAUUGGCGAGAGACCGAUAGCGAACAAGUACCGUGAGGGAAAGAUGAAAAGAACUUUGAAAAGAGAGUUAAACAGUACGUGAAAUUGUCAAAAGGGAAGCGUUUGACACCAGUGUUGUUUUUCUGAAAAUCAAUUAAAGAACUGUUUAUGCUAAGUUGUUUAGACUUUAUCAGCUAUCUGUUUAGUUUUGAGCUUUUCUUUAAUGCACUUUUCAGUUAACAAGUCAACAUCAAUUUCUUUUGCUGUAAAAAAGCUUGAGGAAGGUGGCUUGAGAUUCGUCUUAAGUGUUUAUAGCCUCUUGCCUAUGCAGUCGGAGAGAUUGAGGUCUGCAGCGUAGAUCCUUCGGGGCUAAAUGCAUUUGUGCUAAGUUAUAACAUUUUAUAGACAACUUGUUGACUAUGAUUUGUCUUGUAGCUUACUCGCUUAUGUUAUUUUACCUACGCUUAGGAUGUUGACACACGCGCGUGCUCGACUCUAUAAUGAUCGUCUGCUCGCAUAUCAAUAAGCGGAGGAAAAGUAAAUGCUGUAUACCUACGCUUAGGAUGUUGACACACGCGCGUGCUC
rnacentral:rRNA from 1 species